rnacentral:rRNA from 1 species
CCCAGACUCCUACGGGAGGCAGCAGUGAGGAAUAUUGGUCAAUGGCCGGAAGGCUGAACCAGCCAAGCCGCGUGAAGGACGAAGGUGCCAAGCAUUGUAAACUUCUUUUGUCAAGGGACAAAAUCAGGCUCGAGAGCCUGACCGAGGGUACUUGAAGAAAAAGCAUCGGCUAACUCCGUGCCAGCAGCCGCGGUAAUACGGAGGAUGCGAGCGUUAUCCGGAUUUAUUGGGUUUAAAGGGUGCGUAGGCGGGGCUUUAAGUCGGUGGGAAAAGGGGGGGGCCCACCCCCUGCCCGCCAUUGAAACUGGCGCUCUUGAGUGGAAGAGAAGUAUGCGGAAUGCGUGGUGUAGCGGUGAAAUGCAUAGAUAUCACGCAGAACCCCGAUUGCGAAGGCAGCCUACCGGCUCCUGUCUGACGCUGAGGCACGAAAGCGUGGGUAUCGAACAGGAUUAGAUACCCGAGUAGC